GAUCGGGAUCGGAGCCGGGAUCGGAGCCGGGAUCGGAGCCGGGAUCGGAGCCGGGAUCGGAGCCGGGACUCCGCUCCCAACACGCUCCACAGUUCGACCGCGGCGGACCCGGGCCCGCGGGUUCCGCACGGGAACAUCUGCCUGCGGCUGGAGCGCUGUAUUUACUUAAGAGUGCCGCCCUGGUUUAGCUCGAGAAAAUGGUGAGAUAACAAGUAGAGGAAAACAGACAGGAAGGCAUGACAAGGGUUAAGCACCAGCAAUGAAAAGCUCACUGGGAUUACAAGCAUGCAGAUGAGCUGCAGAAGGAGAAUUGUGUAGUUGUGAGAAGGCAGAAACGGAGGAGAGAGCAGGCAUGUGGGAGAGGAAGUUGCCUUGAUCAGUGGAUUUCCGUCACAUACUCUGCCCUGCAAGAACAAGCAUGGGUGGAGCAAGCAGGAAAGGUAAGCUGGUGCUGUGGGUAGGUAAGAAAGUUCAUGAAAAGAAAUAAAGGAGAGAGCUCAUGGUGAAUGAAAGUUGUAUAUUUAGUUAGUGUGUAGUUAGGACAUUGUCACUGGAACAAACCCAUUUUUCUCUACUUAACCAUCAAAAUGCAAACAAAGCUAAAAGAUGUGCAAGCUUCAUUUUUAAUCAAUUUUACUAGUUGGUAUUAUUUGUUUUGCUUUUCUUUGCUUAUUUUCAUCAUUCUGUUUUUCUUUACUUCCUUUUUAACAGUCUACAAGACAUUAGUUUUUGCACCUUCUUGCACUAUCAGAGGACAAAGCUCUGAAAUAAUAUUUUUCCUUAAAAUGUUACUUAUCUGGUGUUGCUAGGAUGUAAAUGCACCUGCAGCCACAAUCUUUUGGUGUUAUAUUCCAUGCCAGCUAAAAAUAAGUGAGACACCUAAGGCUUGUUAAACCGCUUAACAGAUAAGAUACAGCAGACAGGCUAUGUCCUGAGAAGUGUUCAGAACCACAAUGGUUUAUUGCAUUGUAAUUAUAAUUUUCCUUUUUGUUUGUUUUGGUUUGGAUUUUUGUUUUGGUUUGGUUUUUCUCUUUUGUUUUAGUUUAAUUUUUUUGUUCUUGUUUUUGUUUCUUUUCCUAAAAGCACAUCCCUGGCCUACAGAAGUUAGGGAAGAUGCUUCAGACCAGCCUUUUAGUUAUCAGAAAUAUUAUUUCAAACACUAUAAAGAAAAUAAACACACUGAUAUUAACACAUUAUUUUAAAGUCAGGUUUAUGGAAUCCUAGGCUUUAGAGGAAACCUUUGAGAUUCUACUACUGUAGAACAGCUUUGUUAAGGAGCACAUAAUGUUAUUUUCUCUUAACAUGUGGGGCUACUUUAAAUUUGUGCUUCUGCAUUAUUAAACCAUCGUGGGAAGUGCAGCAGGAGGAAACCCGGGUAAUUGGCUGCAGCUCCAGAUGCAGCCGCUCGCUCAUUGGAGAGAGGAGGAUUCUCCCAGUACUAAAAUUAGACCAUCUCCGCCCAUCCGCAGAAAUGCUUCUGGAAACAGCGAGCAGGAGAAAUUGUGACACAGCCCGAGGAGCGGUGCUGGGCAGGGAGCUGCACAGGGCCCUGCUCCCAGCCAAACUGCAGCCUCAGGGUGCGCAGGAAGAUGCUUUGGGAUUUAUGUCCCGGGUGGCUGGGGAAAAAUCCACACAAUAAAGGAACUGCAAGAGAUUCACAUUAACUGUGAAACACGGAUAUUAAAUUCAACAUUUCUUAUGUAAUAAUAAUUCUGAAGUGUUCAUGCAGGCAGAGGAAGCCUUUGAACUGCUAAAUUUAAGCAAGGGCUGUCAGACUUGUGCUCAUUGACUUUGAAAAGAAAAUUUGCUGAAUUAACUCUGAACUAAACUAAAAAACUGGUGAACUCUUUCUAUCAGUAUUUCUUAAAAAAUAAAAUAUGUUUAUCCAUUAUCUCUGUGAAGUUGCAGUGUUUACUGUGUCUGCAAAUGAAAUAUUGGAUAAGGUAUUUCUGUUAAAGAAACAAUGCCACGUGCCUAUGUUGGUGAAGGAAAACCUAUAUCCGAAUUUGUCUUGUGCACUUGGAACCUGUACUUUUAAAGGUAUAUGAGUAACAACAUCAGUUGUUUGGUUGCAAGGAAAUUGGCUGCAAGGAAAUAAGUGCAUAUUUUUAUUUCUUGUUUCUGUAUUUAUAUUAUUCACAUUACUCAUGAAAAAGAUUAAGGCAAAAUGGGUUUCUCUUACAGCUUUUGCUGUAAAUUUGCUAUUUCUUCACCUAACCAGUGCACAUAGUGUCAGCACCUCUGGCUCCAAAUCCUUGGGGGUUUUUUGUCUUUUCUCCUUUGCCUCUACUUUCAGUCUGAUACCAUUAAAAUUUAAAGCCUGCAAACCUGUGUUUUCGCUCUGCCCCUUUGUCAGUGUCACCUCAAGGGAUUGAGUGCCAUGUCCAGCUUUGGCUGAACUCAGCCACACGCCCCAGGUCUCCCAGCACUUCAAAUCCCAGAGUUUUAUGAGAACACGGUGAGGAGAGGGGACGAGGCGUAGGGUGAGAGAGGAGCAGGGCGGCGGAGUUAUCGGGGCCGUUCAGCAGCCCACACCCCGAUAGCGCGGGGCCAGCUGGCCCGCCUCCAUCCCGGCAGCUCCGGUAAACAAGCACGGGAGGUGACACCGGGCCACCCCGGCCACUACGGGUCAUGUUGGAUGGACAGUGGAUACUGGACAGCCAAUUCCUACAAG